GUAUGGUCUGCGGGCAACGUUUCCCCUGCGGGCUCUGCCACACACUGCUGCUGACCGUGGUCCGCUCCCCACGCUGAAAUUGACAAGCUGCCAGGUGCAGUGGCUCAUGCUUGUACUGCCAGCACUUUGGAAGGCCAAGGUGGGAGGAUAGCUUGAGCCCAGGAAUUUGAGACCAGCCUGGGCAGCAUAGCAAGACUCCAUCUGAUAUAGUUUGGGUAUUUGUCCCCGCCCAGACAUAUGUUGAAAUGGAAUCUUCAGUGUUGGAGAUGGGGCCUGCUGGGAGAUGUUUUGGUCAUGGGGUGGAUUCCUCGGGGCUUGGUGCUGUCCUUGCAAUGGUGAGUAUUCGUGAGAUCUGGUUAAGUGGGAGCCUCCCCUCCCACUCUCUCUUGCUCCCACUUCUGCCGUGUGAGACCCCUGCUCCCCCUUUGCCUUCCACCGUUAUUGGAAGCUUCCGGAUGCCAUGCUUCCUUUACAGCCUGCAGAACCAUAAGCCAAUUAAACCUCUUUUUAA
rnacentral:lncRNA from 10 species